AUGCAGCAGAAGUUGCAAAAUGAUCUAACUGCAGAAGUAGCAGCUGCUACUAAAUAUGAACCUGGAUCCUAUAUAGCUUCUCCUCUAGGAUUUACACACAAGGAAAAUCUGAAUCAAGAUCCAGUUUUGGAAGUAACAAAAGA
rnacentral:sRNA from 1 species